UUUAAUCUUUUUUUUCCUUCUUUUUUUCUUUUAGGAUCAUGUCAAUAAUUUCUACCAUUUCUCUAAACCAUUCCAUGACCAAUCCAUGAACUUUCCUGUAAGUAAAGUGCCUCUACGUUUUUGAACUUCCUCAUGCAUUAUAAGUUCAUCAAUAACAUGAUUUAAUUUUGUAUCACAAUCUUAUAUUAUAUGCCUGAAUUAUAACUAUAGGGUCAUUCUAAAAGUAUGAUAUUCGUGUCCUAAUAUAUGUAUGAGCAAUUGUACUUGUUUGUUUUAUCUGCUAUUUCUAUAGAUAAAAAUGAGCUUUCAACAACAAAUUAUGAUGCCCAAUAUUGUAUUGAGUUUUUACAUUUUUGCUAGCCAAAUUUACCAUUCCCUUCUAUUUUGGAUUUAUUCUAUUCCGUGUCUAGUAGAGGGAGGCAUAAUAGUCACUUGUGUUAGAAUAAUUGACUGAAUACACCCCAAAAGUUAGCGUCAUUAUAAAUGGUUUUUGGCUAUGUUCUCAACCAAAGUGAGAUUUUGAUACUUACCUUCCUCAUGUCCAACAAUGAUAUCUUGGGCUUUGAUAUCAUAUUGUAAUAAUUGAGAAUUGGGACAAUCUCAACCUUCAAAAAUUUAACUUAUAAUACAAGAAAAUACAUGAUUAACAUUAACCAAAAGCCCACACUAAAUGGACAUAUAUAGUGGACACUUUCAUACAAUUUAGUGUCAACCUAACUUUGGUGUUGUUGUUAAGGUUUCAUCUCAAAACUAAUUGGUAAUGAGAGGAGUAAUUCAACAUGUAUUUAAACCAUUCUCGAGACAAUAAGGUAUGUGAUGUGAGACUUACUUUCCAAUAUACCCCAUUCACAGAAGCCUAUCAAAUAAGGUGAAAAGUUACCUUUGAUCCAGACUUAGGGAUAGCAAAAAACUCCGCACAUGCACGGACACCGGUCACAAAUUGGUACCCAUGAAUUUUACAAUCAAGUUUUUCAAACUACUCGUUAUAUAUUCGGGCACGCAUAGGUAUAGUGGUACCUACACCAACGAGUACCUAUAAUAUAUAAAAAUACAUUUAUACCCUUAUUGUCUAACUUAUCCCUCCCCUUCUCAUUCACUCCUAAUGUAGACUCCACCUUCUAAUCACAAUUAAACUUCCAUUCUUUUCCUUAUUCUAUCUUUUGCAACCAUAACUCCUCUUUUUCUUCUCAUUUUGUUGUGUGUACCUUCUUUAUUGUAUGACAUAACUUCAAUAUCUCUGUAUCUUCUUUGUUGUAUGUGUCUUGUCUUUCACCAUAAUGCUUUUCUAUGUGUAGCCUCUAAGGUUGGGAAGGUUUGGGUAGCAUUGGAUUUUGAGAUUUGGAGGAUGUGGUGCUAUAGGGGUUGGAAGGAAACUUGUUUCUGGAAGGUUUGGUUGAAAAUUGUGAGUGUUGGUGGGGAAUACUUUAGGUGAAGGAAACUUGGCUCUAGAAUUCUUUCCAAACUAUAUAUUUUGUGCAGAGGCAGAGCUUAGAAGGAGCAAGUGGGAGUAAUAACAGAGAAACCCCUCAAAUACCUGUUAUAUAUAGAGUAUGCGUAAAAACUCGUGGAAAACCCGCAAGUGGAUACACAUACAG
rnacentral:lncRNA from 1 species